GUGAUGGACUUACAUCUGCCUUGUGAGGAUUCAUCAGUAAAUGAUGUGGUUCCUAUUUGGAACCCAAGUGUAGUAGCAAAUGCUGAACGUCAAAGACUUCAAGGUAAAGAUGGCAGUAAAGUCACUACGGUUGUGGCAAAUCCUUGCCAAGGCCCCGAUCGACCCUUGGAGGUGUCAUAUACAGAUACAAUGGUUAUUGGUAACGGAAGUUUUGGAGUUGUGUACCAAGCCAAAUUAUGUGAUACAGGAGAAAUGGUUGCUAUUAAAAAAGUUCUUCAAGAUAAAAGAUUUAAAAACCGUGAAUUACAAAUAAUGAAACGUUUAGACCAUUGUAACAUAGUGAAAUUGAAAUUUUUCUUUUAUUCAAGUGGUGACAAGAAGGAUGAAGUUUACCUAAAUUUAGUUUUAGAAUAUAUACCAGAUACUGUGUAUAAAGUUGCUCGUCAUUAUAGCAAAUUAAGGCAAACUAUUCCGAUCAACUACAUUAAGUUGUACAUGUACCAGUUAUUUCGAAGUUUGGCAUAUAUUCACUCAUUAGGCAUAUGUCACCGUGAUAUCAAGCCUCAAAAUUUAUUAUUAAACCCUGAAACUGGGGUGUUAAAGUUGUGUGAUUUUGGCAGUGCUAAGACUCUUAUCAAGGGUGAACCUAAUGUUUCCUACAUAUGUUCAAGAUAUUAUCGAGCACCUGAACUGAUUUUCGGUGCUAUAGACUAUACAACAAAAAUUGAUGUAUGGAGUGCUGGUUGUGUAUUAGCAGAACUCAUGCUAGGUCAACCAAUUUUUCCAGGUGACUCUGGUGUUGAUCAAUUAGUUGAGAUAAUUAAAGUUCUAGGCACACCAACAAGAGAGCAGAUUAGGGAAAUGAAUCCUAAUUAUACCGAAUUCAAAUUUCCUCAAAUAAAAUCGCACCCUUGGUCAAAAGCGUCAUUUAUAAAGGUUUUCCGUAUGCGGACGCCAGCAGAAGCUGUUGAAUUGGUGUCUGUAUUACUUGAAUACACUCCAUCACUUAGGGUGUCUCCAUUACAAGCAUGUGCUCAUGCAUUCUUUGAUGAGCUACGAGAUCCACUACAUAGAUUACCAAAUGGACGGUCAUUACCUCCACUUUUCAAUUUUACACAACUAGAAUUGAGUGCAGCUGGAUCUUUAAAAUCUGCUUUGAUACCUAAGCAUUUAAAAGAUUCUGUUGGAAGCGGAAAUGAAGCAUCUGCUGCUAGUGGUGGACCAUCCACCCCUGAAAAUAUUAAUCCAGAUAGUCCAAGUCAUCCGUCAUCAUCGACUACUUCCAGGCAACCUUCAAAUGAAAUUGUUUAAAAGCGCGACCAAAAAUAUGCCUUGGCAAUCAAAUCACACAAACUUAUUAAGACACAACACGACCGUUUCCACUAAACAGACUCGAGUUUCAAAAUACAUCGAAACCUAUUGAUGUUAGCGCUUCCGAGCGGGACACGAAAAACAAAGCUUCUACUGUCGCAAAAUACGUCGAUCUUCAAAAUGUUUGCGAAAAGUUCCCGUUUUGUUUUAUUCGACACGAGUUUGUGUUUUGUUUUUUUUUUGUCCGUUUAGUGGAAAACCAGCAUAAUACUAACUAAAAAUAUAUAUUUUAAUAAUUAUUUAGACAUUAUAAGUAAUAUGUUUAUA
rnacentral:misc_RNA from 1 species